rnacentral:rRNA from 1 species
UACGAAGGGGGCUAGCGUUGCUCGGAAUCACUGGGCGUAAAGCGCACGUAGGCGGAUUGCUAAGUCAGGGGUGAAAUCCUGGAGCUCAACUCCAGAACUGCCUUUGAUACUGAAGAUCUUGAGUCCGGGAGAGGUGAGUGGAACUGCGAGUGUAGAGGUGAAAUUCGUAGAUAUUCGCAAGAACACCAGUGGCGAAGGCGGACUCACUGGCCCGGUACUGACGCUGAGGCACGAAA